CCCCUUACUUUGGACACUCUGAAUUCAUUCUCAGCCUCCAUUUUUCAAGAUUCUCCACUGUUUGCAAGAUCCGAUGAUUCCAAGUUUGGCCAAAAAAUUUGGGAGCUUUUUUGGCCACAGGCUAAGCUUUUGGACCAAGGUACCAAGAUUCAUAUUGGAGACAAUCUAACGGUAAAGCUGGUUUGAACUGUAAUCUGUGAGUGAAUCUUAUUUCUGAAAUGAUUUUGAAAAUUAUAUAAUGAUAACAUACGAUAUAUAAAUUACCU